UCCCAGUGACUGAAUCUUCGCCCAUUGGA
rnacentral:piRNA from 1 species